rnacentral:rRNA from 1 species
GAUGAACGCUGGCGGCGUGCCUAAUACAUGCAAGUCGAGCGAAUGGAUUAAGAGCUUGCUCUUAUGAAGUUAGCGGCGGACGGGUGAGUAGCACGUGGGUAACCUGCCCAUAAGACUGGGAUAACUCCGGGAAACCGGGGCUAAUACCGGAUAACAUUUUGAACCGCAUGGUUCGAAAUUGAAAGGCGGCUUCGGCUGUCACUUAGGGAUGGACCCGCGUGGCAUUAGCUAGUUGGUGAGGUAACGGCUCACCAAGGCAACGAUGCGUAGCCGACCUGAGAGGGUGAUCGGCCACACUGGGACUGAGACACGGCCCAGACUCCUACGGGAGGCAGCAGUAGGGAAUCUUCCGCAAUGGACGAAAGUCUGACGGAGCAACGCCGCGUGAGUGAUGAGGCUUUCGGGUCGUAAAACUCUGUUGUUAGGGAAGAACAAGUGCUAGUUGAAUAAGCUGGCACCUUGACGGUACCUAACCAGAAAGCCACGGCUAACUACGUGCCAGCCGCCGCGGUAA